CAGCCGCGCGGUAAUACGUAGGUCCCGAGCGUUGUCCGGAUUUAUUGGGCGUAAAGCGAGCGCAGGCGGUUAGAAAAGUCUGAAGUGAAAGGCAGUGGCUCAACCAUUGUAGGCUUUGGAUACUGUUUAACUUGAGUGCAGAAGGGGAGAGUGGAAUUCCAUGUGUAGCGGUGAAAUGCGUAGAUAUAUGGAGGAACACCGGUGGCGAAAGCGGCUCUCUGGUCUGUAACUGACGCUGAGGCUCGAAAGCGUGGGGAGCGAACAGGAUUAGAGACCCCCGUAGUCCCUGUCUCUUAUACAC
rnacentral:rRNA from 1 species